rnacentral:rRNA from 1 species
UACGAAGGGGGCUAGCGUUGCUCGGAAUUACUGGGCGUCAAGCGCACGUAGGCGGAUUGUUAAGUCGGGGGUGAAAUCCUGGAGCUCAACUCCAGAACUGCCUUCGAUACUGGCGAUCUCGAGUUCGGGAGAGGUGAGUGGAACUGCGAGUGUAGAGGUGAAAUUCGUAGAUAUUCGCAAGAACACCAGUGGCGAAGGCGGCUCACUGGCCCGAUACUGACGCUGAGGUGCGAAAGCGUGGGGAGCAAACAGG